AACGAACGUUAGCGGCGCGCCUAAGACAUGCAAGUCGAGCGAGAAAGGGCUUCGGCCCCGGUAAAGCGGCGCACGGGUGAGUAACACGUAGGUAAUCAACCCUCGAGUGGUGGACAACUCUCCGAAAGGAGAGCUAAUACAGCAUGAUGGCGCGACUUUACGAAGUUGUGUCUAAAGCGGGCCUCUCCACGGAAGCUCGCGCUUGAGGAUGAGCCUGCGGCCCAUCAGCUAGUUGGUUGGGGUAACGGCCCACCAAGGCAAAGACGGGUAGCUGGUCUGAGAGGAUGAACAGCCACACUGGAACUGAGACACGGUCCAGACUCCUACGGGAGGCAGCAGUCGGGAAUCUUCCGCAAUGGGCGAAAGCCUGACGGAGCAACGCCGCGUGGAGGAUGAAGUCUCUUGGGACGU
rnacentral:rRNA from 1 species